CGGGCAUGUCAGCUCUCUGAAGACGUCCUCUUGUUCAGCAAAGUGAAAUAGUCUAUAGAAAUAGGGCUGGAACAAAGGGCCCUGGUGGCUUUGUCCUGGAUUCCCUAUGAAUGGUCAGCUUCCUUGGGCAGAGUUCAGUGCAAAUGAGGUCAAGGCUUGGCUCUGGAGGCAGGCCAGUGAGCUCCAGUCUAUUUUGUGGAGAAAGACUCCCUCUAAUUCCAAAUGCCUUUAUUGAACACCUAAUAUUUUCCAGGUCCUGUGCUAGGGGCUAGGAAGACAAAGAGAAACAGAGUCACAUCCUCCCACAAAAAUCCAUGAGAUGUCGGAGAGCCGAACUUGUAAACAGCCAUCAUCAACACAAAGAAGGAUGCACUGAUGCUCUCUAGAGGCUCACAGGAAAUGAUUCAUGGGCAUAGAGAUGUGGAACCUACGGACAUGGAGGGCCAACUUCACAUAUAAUGAAAUAUUAUUUGGCCGUAAAAAGGAAGGAAAUCCUGCCAUUUAUGACAACAUGGAUGGACCUGGAGGACAUUAUGCUAAGUGAAAUAAGCUAGACACAGGAAGCCAAAUACUGCCUCAUCUCACUUCUGUAUAAAACCUAAACUAGUUAAACACAUAGAAGCAGAGAAUAGAAUGGUAGUUGCCAGGAGCUGGAGGGAAGGGGAAAUGGGGAAGUAUUGGCCAAAGAGUUCAAUUUGUGUAAAGUUUCAGUGUGCAAAAUAAGUAAAUUCUGGAAACCUCCUGUGCGAUAUAGGGCAUAUGAUUAACACCACUAUAUUGUGUUUUAAAAAAUUUGCUAAGAAGGUAGAUUAAGAAAAACAAAGAAAACCAAAAAACCCAAAGGCAGCAGAAGGACACUUUUGGAGAUAAUGGAAAAGUUUAUGGCAUUAAUAUUGGUAGUGAUGAUGGUUACAUGGGUGUAUGCUUAUCUCCAAACACAUCGAGUUGUAUACAUUAAAUAUCUAUAGCUUCUUGUAUGUCAAUUAUAUCUCAAUAAAGCGGUUUAA
rnacentral:lncRNA from 1 species